CCUACGGGAGGCAGCAGUGAGGAAUAUUGGUCAAUGGGCGGGAGCCUGAACCAGCCAAGCCGCGUGAGGGAAGAAGGUACAGCGUAUCGUAAACCUCUUUUGUCAGGGAACAAAGGCGGGGACUAGUCCCCGGAUGAGGGUACAUGAAGAAAAAGCAUCGGCUACCUCUGUGCCAGCAGCCGCGGUAAUACGGAGGAUGCGAGCGUUAUCCGGAUUUAUGGGGUUUAAAGGGUGCGCAGGCGGCCUGUUAAGUCAGCGGUAAAAGCCCGGGGCUCAAGCCCGACGAGCCGUUGAGACUGGCGGGCUGGAGUGGGAGAGAAGUACGCGGAAUGCGCGGUGUAGCGGUGAAAUGCUUAGAUAUCGCGCAGAACCCCGAUUGCGAAGGCAGCGUACCGGCUCCACACUGACGCUGAGGCACGAAAGCGUGGGUAUCGAACAGGAUUAGAUACCCCUGUAGUC
rnacentral:rRNA from 1 species